CCUUGCCAGCCCGCUCAGAAACUCAAAGGAAUUGACGGGGGCCCGCACAAGCGGAGGAGCAUGUGGUUAAUUCGAUGAUACGCGAGGAACCUUACCUGGGCUCGAACGUAAGAUGACUGUAGGUGAAAGCUUACAUCUCUUCGGAGCAUUUUACGAGGUGCUGCAUGGUUGUCGUCAGCUCGUGCCGUGAGGUGUCGGGUUAAGUCCCAUAACGAGCGCAACCCCUACCUUUAGUUGCCAUCAGGUUAAGCUGGGGACUCUAAAGGAACUGCCUACGCAAGUAGUGAGGAAGGCGGGGAUGACGUCAAAUCAGCACGGCCCUUACGUCCAGGGCUACACACGUGCUACAAUGGCCGAUACAGAGGGCAGCUACCUGGUGACAGGAUGCAAAUCUCCAAAGUCGGUCUCAGUUCGGAUCGGAGUCUGCAACCCGACUCCGUGAAGUUGGAUUCGCUAGUAAUCGCGCAUCAGCCAUGGCGCGGUGAAUACGUUCCCGGGCCUU
rnacentral:rRNA from 1 species